AUGAACGCUGGCGGCGUGCCUUAUACAUGCAAGUCAUACGGGUGUAGCAAUACACCAGUGGCGAACGGCUGAGUAACACGUGGGAACUUCCUUUAAGUUCGGAAUAACCCGCCGAAAGGCGGACUAAUACCGGAUGUGCCCGAAAGGGUAAAGCAGCAAUGCGCUUAAAGCGAGGCCCGCGCACCAUCAGGUAGUUGGUAGGGUAAUGGCCUACCAAGCCUAUGACGGUUAGAGGGCCCGAGAGGGUGUACCUCCAGACGGGAACUGCGACACGGUCCCGACUCCUACGGGAGGCAGCAGUAGGGAAUUUUGGACAAUGGACGAAAGUCUGAUCCAGCGACGCCGCGUGCGGGAUGAAGGCCUUCGGGUCGUAAACCGCUUUUUUCAGGGAACAAUUUCUGAGUGUACCUGGAGAAUAAGAGGUUGCUAACUCUGU
rnacentral:rRNA from 1 species